GGUUGGUUGGCAAUGCGUUUGGGAGAGUUAAAGCUCGGUGGCAGCUGUUGGCGAGAAGGUGGAAAGAGGAUUGCGUUGAAAUUUUCCCUCUCUCAUCUGCCUCUCCUUCGAAAACUGGCAGUUCCUCCUCCCGUAGAAUGCGUCCUACGCUCUCCUCUGGCAAUGGCUCACUAUACUUUAUUAGAAAAUUAUGCAGCAAACAACCCAUCACAAUCACGAAUGGGAAAAUUUCAAC
rnacentral:misc_RNA from 1 species